UUUCCCGCCGAUCUGAGGGGGAUGAGAAGCCCCGAUUGGGGUUCGACAACUGGCUUCAGCCAGUUGGACAGCGGAGCCUGCGACGCUGCCCGAAGGGUGAGCGCAGCGAAUCAAUCCCCCUCUCACCGCCA
rnacentral:sRNA from 1 species